AACUGGCGGACGGGUGAGUAACGCGUAGGGAUGUGCCUAUGGGUACGGAAUAACCAUUGGAAACGAUGGCUAAUACCGUAUACGCCCCAAGGGGGAAAGCUCCGGCGCCCAUGGAGCAACCUGCGUCCGAUUAGCUUGUUGGUGAGGUAAUGGCUCACCAAGGCGACGAUCGGUAGCUGGUCUGAGAGGAUGGUCAGCCACACUGGGACUGAGACACGGCCCAGACUCC
rnacentral:rRNA from 1 species